UGGGGAAUAUUGCACAAUGGGGGAAACCCUGAUGCAGCCAUGCCGCGUGUGUGAAGAAGGCCUUCGGGUUGUAAAGCACUUUCAGUUGUGAGGAAAAGUUAGUAGUUAAUACCUGCUAGCCGUGACGUUAACAACAGAAGAAGCACCGGCUAACUCCGUGCCAGCAGCCGCGGUAAUACGGAGGGUGCGAGCGUUAAUCGGAAUUACUGGGCGUAAAGCGCACGCAGGCGGUUUGUUAAGCUAGAUGUGAAAGCCCCGGGCUCAACCUGGGAUGGUCAUUUAGAACUGGCAGACUAGAGUCUUGGAGAGGGGAGUGGAAUUCCAGGUGUAGCGGUGAAAUGCGUAGAUAUCUGGAGGAACAUCAGUGGCGAAGGCGACUCCCUGG
rnacentral:rRNA from 1 species